UAAUCCUACGGGAGGCAGCAGUGGGGAAUAUUGCACAAUGGGCGCAAGCCUGAUGCAGCGACGCCGCGUGAGGGAUGACGGCCUUCGGGUUGUAAACCUCUUUCAGUAGGGAAGAAGCGAAAGUGACGGUACCUGCAGAAGAAGCGCCGGCUAACUACGUGCCAGCAGCCGCGGUAAUACGUAGGGCGCAAGCGUUCUCCGGAAUUAUUGGGCGUAAAGAGCUCGUAGGCGGUUUGUCGCGUCUGCCGUGAAAGUCCGGGGCUCAACUCCGGAUCUGCGGUGGGUACGGGCAGACUAGAGUGAUGUAGGGGAGACUGGAAUUCCUGGUGUAGCGGUGAAAUGCGCAGAUAUCAGGAGGAACACCGAUGGCGAAGGCAGGUCUCUGGGCAUUAACUGACGCUGAGGAGCGAAAGCAUGGGGAGCGAACAGGAUUAGAUACCCUGGUAGUCCAUGCCGUAAACGUUGGGCACUAGGUGUGGGGGACAUUCCACGUUUUCCGCGCCGUAGCUAACGCAUUAAGUGCCCCGCCUGGGGAGUACGGCCGCAAGGCUAAAACUCAAAGGAAUUGACGGGGGCCCGCACAAGCGGCGGAGCAUGCGGAUUAGUUUGAUGCAACGCGAAGAACCUUACCAAGGCUUGACAUGAACCGGUAAUACCCUGAGACCACG
rnacentral:rRNA from 1 species